UGCUGGAUUUAGCCUUUCACGAAGUACCCGCAGGGAGGAGGUUCUGGACAGACUGGGUUUGAUUUCUGGCUCCGGAUUUCUAGCUCUGGACCCUCGAAUGUGUUUUCAUCAUCACCCAUCACGAAUAAAGUGAAUCAGAAACAACCUCAAUGAGGAACACUCCUUUCCUGAUUGACUCUCCUGGAAAUGCGCCUUCCAGGCCUCAGUUUCCUCGUCUCUGGGAAGGGCUGUUGAGAAGAUUAAAGGAGCUGAAACACCAACACCCUCACAUUCAAUAUUUCAUCUCCACAUGAACCGGUAUGUGACGGACACGCCGCAGCUCCCACCCCACACCUGCUUUACUUUCCUUUGCUGCUUUUCCAUUUGCUUCUG